rnacentral:rRNA from 1 species
UCUGGUGGCGAUAGCGAAGAGGUCACACCCGUUCCCAUACCGAACACGGAAGUUAAGCUCUUCAGCGCCGAUGGUAGUUGGAGUUAGCUCCUGCAAGAGUAGGACGUUGCCAGUC